GGAAUCCUACGGGAGGCAGCAGUAGGGAAUCUUCCACAAUGGGCGAAAGCCUGAUGGAGCAACGCCGCGUGGGUGAAGAAGGUCUUCGGAUCGUAAAACCCUGUUGUUAGAGAAGAAAGUGCGUGAGAGUAACUGUUCACGUUUCGACGGUAUCUAACCAGAAAGCCACGGCUAACUACGUGCCAGCAGCCGCGGUAAUACGUAGGUGGCAAGCGUUAUCCGGAUUUAUUGGGCGUAAAGGGAACGCAGGCGGUCUUUUAAGUCUGUUGUGAGU
rnacentral:rRNA from 1 species